UACGUAGGGUGCAAGCGUUGUCCGGAAUUAUUGGGCGUAAAGAGCUCGUAGGCGGUCUGUCGCGUCGGAUGUGAAAAUCCAGGGCUCAACCCUGGACCUGCAUUCAAUACGGGCAGACUAGAGUUCGGCAGGGGAGACUGGAAUUCCUGGUGUAGCGGUGAAAUGCGCAGAUAUCAGGAGGAACACCGGUGGCGAAGGCGGGUCUCUGGGCCGAAACUGACGCUGAGGAGCGAAAGCGUGGGGAGCAAACAGG
rnacentral:rRNA from 1 species